UGACUGGGGCGGUCUCCUCCCAAAGAGUAACGGAGGAGCACGAAGGUGGGCUAAUCACGGUUGGACAUCGUGAGGUUAGUGCAAUGGCAUAAGCCCGCUUGACUGCGAGAAUGACAAUUCGAGCAGGUGCGAAAGCAGGUCAUAGUGAUCCGGUGGUUCUGAAUGGAAGGGCCAUCGCUCAACGGAUAAAAGGUACUCCGGGGAUAACAGGCUGAUACCGCCCAAGAGUUCAUAUCGACGGCGGUGUUUGGCACCUCGAUGUCGGCUCAUCACAUCCUGGGGCUGAAGUCGGUCCCAAGGGUAUGGCUGUUCGCCAUUUAAAGUGGUACGCGAGCUGGGUUUAGAACGUCGUGAGACAGUUCGGUCCCUAUCUGCCGUGGGCGUUGGAAGAUUGAAGGGGGCUGCUCCUAGUACGAGAGGACCGGAGUGGACGAACCUCUGGUGUUCGGGUUGUGUCGCCAGACGCAUUGCCCGGUAGCUAAGUUCGGAAUCGAUAACCGCUGAAAGCAUCUAAGCGGGAAGCGAGCCCUGAGAUGAGUCUUCCCUGAUACUUUAAGUAUCCUAAAGGGUUGUCGGAGACUACGACGUUGAUAGGUCAGGUGUGUAAGUGCUGUGAGGCAUUGAGCUAACUGAUACUAAUUGCCCGUGAGGCUUAACCAUACAACACCCAAGGGGUUU
rnacentral:rRNA from 1 species